rnacentral:lncRNA from 1 species
UGUAACCUAGAAAAGCCAUGGAUACAUCCGGCCAAGCUUGUAAGCUAAAUUAGAAAGAAGAAAAAUGCUAUUGCAUGUUAAUUUUGAGCUCAAUUAGGAGCUGGUUCCAUAAGAAAUUCAGUGGCAGCAAGAAGAGGAAGGAUAUCGUUCAAGGGUGGGCUCGACUGCUGUUCAGUAAGUUUUUCAAAGGAAACUUUGUAAAAUUUUUACGUAUAAAAUAUAUUUAUUACAUGCAAGUAAUUUUCGGCUUAUAGGACUAUUAAGUAGAGUUUAGUAGCUUAAAACACAUGUUAUUUUUACCAAAAUACUGCAAUUAGAAGUGAAGAAAAAUUUAGAUAAAAAAAAUGCAUAAGUUGCUGUUGAAAUCUGUCGCACGAUUGUCUAUUGCUUCAGCAAGUAGUUGCUUUAUUGAAAGUGCAGUAAAUUCUGGUGUAAUUGGUCUGCUGCUGUUGUAAAUAAGGAAAAAUAUUAGUUGUUAAAUGUUAACCAUAUCUCUGUCUGAAAGAGAUAUUUGCGGUCUGAAUGCCAGAAAUUUCAUCAUUUAAUUCCUCUUUUUUUUAAACUGAUUAAAAAAAAGAAAAAAAAUAAUGUUGUAAAUGCAACAUUUGUAUAUGCUAAUCGCUCACCAAUUAACUAAAAGUGAGCUUAAAAUUAAGUUGUCCGAAUAUGUUAAAUUCACUGUUGAUGAUCUUACAAUGUUUGAAAUAGAAUAUAUAUUAAGUAUGAUUUUACAAAUUAAAUGGCCUGUAACAAUUGAAGUUAAAGAAAGAAGUAUAAUUCAUUUUGUGGAAGAGAUUUGACGUUAACUUACAGGUUGUUUAGGUUGUACUGCAUGAGGGAGUUAAAGGGGUACUUAAUACAGUUUAUUGCUAAUUAAUGUGCUGCGGUUAUAUUGUAUAUCAUUGGCUGCCCAAUUAGGACAAAUUCAUGGUGUUUAGCUAAUUAAAAUAUUUUUGAUAUAACGUGAAUCAUUGACUGUCUAAAUUAGGGCAUAAUUACGGUAUUAGUUAAUUGAAAUACUAAUGUUGUGAUGUGGAUCAUUGGUUGACCAAUUUAAGACACUUAUUUUAUUUUAGUUAUUAAAUGUUACCGUUAGGAGAAGGAUUAUUGCUGUCCAAAAGUGGCAUUUGUUGUGUCUAUUUAUGUUUCAAGAUUUGGUCCAAUUUUUUUUGUAACUAAAUUGCUGACCAAAUUAGUAAUAAAAAUAUCUAAUACAUGAUUCAAAAUUUUCCCUGAACAUGAAUGUUAUGUAUUGGUCAAACUGGUACCGAUACUAACCAUUUCAAGCUUUAAAGAAUUAAUCGAAUAUAAUGUUAUUCUUAAUAAUAUUGUUAAUGUAUGGAUAUUUUGAGCAAUUGUAAGUUUUGAGUACUCACCUUUAGUAUAUAAUUGAUGAUGCCUUGAUAUGUGUAUAUUAGAUGAAUUGUGACCUUUUGGUUCUACUUGAAUUAAGUUGUGUGAUAAAUAAUUUAUGUAUAUGACUUAUAGUCGAAUGGUCACUCUGGGUUAAACUUGAAUGGUGAAAUGGAUAUAUGAUAUUUAUGUAUGACUUUUGAACCAAAAUGUAAAUGAUGGUGUUCAUAUGGAGCUUAUAUCUGAAUGUAGCAAAUGACUACUAAUGUGAUAUGUUGAAUGAGAUGUGUUAAUAUAUGAUUAAAUAUGCAUGAUAUUUGAUGUAUAUCCGGGCCUAAAGACCCACAGGUUGUAUGCUGGAAUUAUAUCCGGGCUUAAAGACCCGCAGGCUAUAUGCUGGAAUUAUAUUCAGGCUUAAAGAUCCGCAGGUUUCGUGCUGGAAUUGUAUCCGGGCUUAAAGACCCGCAGGCUAUAUGCUGGAAUUGUAUCCGGGCUUAAAGACCCGCAGGCUUCGUGCUUGAAUUGUAUCCGGACUUAAGAUCCGCAGGCUUCGUGCUGGUACUAUAUCUAGACUUAAGGUCCGCAGGCUUCGUACUGGUGCUAUAUCCGGGGUUAACGUCCCAUAGGCUUUGUGUUGGUGAUUGAAUUUGGGGUUUAAACCUAGCUGGCUUAAAGCCGAUGAUUCGAAAAAGAUUAUGAAUUUGAAGGUUCGAGGUAAACUACUACUGAUUAUGUAUGCUACAUUAUGAGGG